GACUAGAAGCCUGGCACGCCUGUCUGCUGUAGUCCGCAGCGGUGUCACACUCAAACAGUGCAGGAUUUCUAGGUGGCUACUGCCUAAGCCACAUCCCCAAAGCAGACCUGAGGCUCGAAAGGCUGGGGCAAGGAAGCGUCUAAUGUAACUAGAAGCUGUGCCCGUAACCAUUUGGGGCCUGUAGCAAGCGGGUUGGUGAUCAACUGGGACUCCGAAGUGGGAGAGUCUAAGCCACUCUUCUACAGCGAGCCUCAGAGUGAGUGGUUGAUUUCUCGAAGGUUUUAUGGUUUUGGUGUUCUGAUGGCCAAGGCCUGUUAAAGGACAUUCAAGUCCAAUUGCACAGGAUCCGUGGGCACUCAAGCAGAUCCGUGGUCUGUGGAGAGCAAGUUUAUGAGGGCGGAAAAGGGAGCGUGGGCUGUCAUCACGGAGACAGCCCCCGGCGGACUCUAAGAUAACAGAGACAAUAGUACCACUGGACGGUCUAAAAUACGUGCCUCAGAGUCUGCCUCUGAGAACACCGAGCGGCGUGCCCAGGGCUCCGCACCUCCCAGGUAGGGCCACGCAGAGCGAUGCGGUCGAUUGGCACCUUUCACCCGGGCACCAAAAGGCGCAGUCUCUUCUCCCCUUUAUACCUUUCGCGCUCUUGCCAGUCCCUGGUCAGUCCCCAGUGGGUCGGAGGUGGAGAUGGAAAUUCGGGAACUUGAGAGGAGAGAAAGAGUAGCAAGAAAGACAGUGAUCACCGGCCCCCACGGUGGCCCAGAACAUUCAGGCCAGACCCUGCAAUCUUCGCUUUGCUAGCCUCUCCCGUGAGCGCUGAGAACGUUUGACCCCAAGAUUAACUUCGGGGACUCAUUCCGCACACCGAUGGGAGCGUGCAUCCUGGGUGGGCGGGGUCUCACGUAACUGUCCGAAUCUCUGUCUAAUCGUGCCCCCGAAACCCCACCCUAGCAGCUGGCGACUCCGAGACCACGUCCUCCUUCCCGCUCGGCCCUAGCUGAGUUUUUCCGCGGCGAAGCAGGAAGUGAACUGCUCCUGCUCCACUUCCCAGCUCAGUAACCGGUCGGGACUGUUUCUUAGAACCCAUACCCCAUCUGUGUUCCCCAGACGAAGUAAGGACUCCUCUUUAUUCCUGCUCCAUGGAACCUCAGGUUCUCUUGGGACGGUGGUCUGAGAGCUAGGAAUGAAGCCUUGCUCACAUUUCUUUGUCCUCUUCCUUGAAAUUUAAAGACAAUUCAAAUAUGGCUUGGGUUUUUAUAAAGGUGAUGGCUGCUGUAGCCUAGUAGUACCACACCCUAGGGAAGACGGGCUUCCUUGGAGAAAGGCAAUCCUCGCCUUGCAGUCUGGCCUGUCACUGUGAGCAGAGCACUUGCACUCUCUCCAGAGAGCAAACUGGGUAGGACUGCUUCCCAGGAUGCCCAGUGUGGCAUCCUUAGUCAUCUUCUCUGAUUUAUUAAUAUCCAGCUCAGUCUAUGAUCCUGUAAUACUCCGUUCCUGGACUGUGAAAGUGAUGAUGACUACACAGUGGGUCAAGCACAUUGAGUUGUUUCGUUGAGUUUGCUUUGGUUUUUGGUUUGCUUUGGUUUUGUAGCAGAGGCAAUAGGUGCCUUUCCAUCCAGAAAACUCUGCUCCCAAGAUCCCCUAUCAGGAUUAACUGCAUGGCGCCAGAUUGUUGGUUAGGGCAAGGUAUGUGCUCUGUGAUCAUGGAAAUGAUCAAAGUUAAAUAGGACUUGCCACUCCUGACAGCACUCAUUACCUCCUGUAUGCGCUUCAAGCAUAACAGAUUUCUAACCUGAACCUAAUUUAGCUUCCAAAGCUUAAAAACAAGAGGGAAGAGUUAGGAAGCCUCCCGGGGUUUCAGCUGGGUUACUUGAAUGUUGUACUCUACCCAUUUGGUGAACUUGCCAACAAGUUCAUAGCAACACAGGGUCUUCCGUUCACUACACCUUUCAAUCCUGGAUCACAGGGCUUUCCAGCCUUGACUACAUACUUACGAAUAAUAGAAUGUCCACAUUAAUCCUUGGGUCUUCUUACUCCUAAGUGGAAACAGUAAGGACCAUCUCCAUAGACCUUAAAGGCUCAUAUGUCUGGGUCACAGGGCUUCUGGAGAGUAAUAUUGUCUCCACAUCUCCUUCAAUAAUUCAGAUUGCAUCUGAAAUCACAACAUUACUGGGCGUUUAAAUCCCAAGGCUAUCUUAAUGCUUUUAUCGAAGAAAGCCAGGCUGAAGAUGCACAUACAUAAUUUUACAAGUAGCUAUAUGAUGCAAAAGUAAAUGUCUGUCUUUAGGGCAUUUGGAAAGUUAUCUUUGAAAUUAAUUUCUUCAUAAGCAUGGUAAUGUUUACAAUGCAGUUUCCCUACCUCAUCUGACCCUCACAACUGCCCUGGAAGUUACUGAAGUCGCUAUGCCCGCAGUCCUCUUUUGGUGAAAAAAGAGCAGCGACUCAGUGACUUAACGCCACAUAACAAAGGUUCUUAGACCAUAUCAUUUUUCUAGCAGGAAACAAUAACAGGCCUUAUUAUGAAUUUAUUUCUGUGCCAUGUUUACAAAUAAUGAGAGACAAGUUGGAAUUUACAAGGAUUAAAUAAAGGAGUCAGUAGUGAUGGAUUAAGGAUCCUUGGAAAAGAAUGAAAUGUUCUUAUUAACUGGGUCAUGAUACUUUUGAUACCAGAAGUACAGCAAUGAAAAAAAGAAAGUAUCAUUUAGACUAUCUGGGUUUCUGCUGGUCAGUGCUGUCACAUCCUUUCACUCGCAGCACUUGGGACACAGAAGCAGACAGAUCUGAGUUUGGAACUAGACUGGUCUACAGAGUGAAAUUCAGAACAGCCAGGGCUACACAGAAAAACCCUGUCUC
ensembl:processed_transcript Gm37587 predicted gene, 37587